rnacentral:rRNA from 1 species
UACGUAGGGGGCGAGCGUUGUCCGGAUUUAUUGGGCGUAAAAGGCUUGUAGGCGGCCACCGCGCGUCGUGCGUGAAAUCUCCCGGCUUAACUGGGAGGGGUCGUGCGAUACGGUCGGACUCGAGGCCAGUAGGGGGACGCGGAAUUCCGGGUGUAGUGGUGGAAUGCGUAGAGAUCCGGAGGAACACCAGCGGCGAAGGCGGAUCUCUGGGCCUUACCUGACGCUGAGGCGCGAAAGCUAGGGGAGCGAACAGG